rnacentral:lncRNA from 1 species
AGAAGAUCAGAAAUGAUGUAGAAGGGGAAGUCAAAUAAGUUUGCCUUCAUGUAAACUCUUUUUCUUCUCUUUCCAUUUCAGGAUGGUUUUAGUUCUUCUCCAGAGAAAGGCAUCCUGAUAAAAGGAUAUGGGCCAGCCUUUAAUUGAUUUCUCAGCUGGACAUUGGAAAUAGCUUUUGAUGGUCCUGGGCUUCUUUCAUUUGACCCAGGAGCAUUGAUCUAGAGUUCUAAAAGCAAGACUAAAAAUAUGCCUUCAUGAAAACGUGCCUACAAAAGGUGACCCUUCUUGUUUUGGCUUUAAGUUCAUAAAACUGAGGCAGAGACAGGGCGUAUGUGCCUGCAUUCACAAAGUAAUUCAUGAACUAAUGAGAGUUCAGAUCUGAAAAAGAACUUCAAGCUUGCAACUCAGACCUGUAACUCCCAGUCCAGUAAAUCACCAUGGCUUCUGCUCUUUCAGAGCUACGCUUUGUCUGAAGGAAUGAAAACAUGCCCAUGAUGUUUAACAACUGAAGUAUUCAUUAUUUAGUAACAAAAAUUUGGCAACUGGCAUGCCUAAGGGUGGGGAAAGAUUCAAAUGAGUUUUGAAAUUCCAGACUCUUUUAUUCCAUAGCAAUACAUUCCUUUGGCACCUACAGCUUUUCCCACGAACAGAUGAUGAGAAAGAGAAUGAAUCACGUACGAAGAUUUUAGCCACAACUCUUACUGCACCAUUAGAGCACGCCAGCAUUAUAAAAGUCAC